GGUGCGUUGUCGGCCCAAACUACAAGCCCCACAAUGCUAUGCGGGAGGCCCGGGCCCUGACAGGCUGCGGCGCGCUCUACCGCCGUCAUUUCCUGCCGCGGGGCGACUGUUGCCGCGCGCCAGGCUGGGCGGACGGCGCGGGUUGUCCGGAGCGGUAGCCAUGAACUUCUCCGAGGUGUUCAAGCUCUCCAGCCUGCUCUGCAAGUUCUCUCCGGACGGCAAGUACCUGGCUGCCUGUGUCCAGUACCGGUUAGUGGUCCGGGAUGUGAGCACCCUGCAAGUCCUCCAGCUGUACACAUGCCUCGACCAGAUCCAGCACAUCGAGUGGUCGGCAGACUCCCUCUUCAUUUUGUGCGCCAUGUACAAGCGAGGGCUGGUGCAGGUGUGGUCUUUGGAACAGCCAGAAUGGCACUGCAGAAUCGACGAGGGGUCCGCUGGCCUGGCGGCUUCUUGCUGGAGCCCAGAUGGGCGCCACAUUCUCAACACGACGGAAUUCCAUCUGCGCAUAACUGUCUGGUCCUUGUGCACAAAAUCUGUAUCUUACAUCAAAUAUCCUAAAGCUUGUCAACAAGGAAUAAGCUUCACCCGGGAUGGCCGCUACAUGGCGCUGGCGGAGAGGAGGGACUGCAGGGACCACGUGAGCGUCUUUGUCUGCAGCGACUGGCAGCUCCUGCGGCACUUUGACGCAGACACCCAGGAUCUUGCAGGGAUCGAGUGGGCCCCGAACGGCUGUGUGCUGGCUGUGUGGGACACCUGUCUGGAGUACAAGAUGCUGCUAUACUCCUUGGACGGCCGGCUGCUGUCCGUGUUCUGCGCGUACGAGUGGUCCCUGGGCAUCAAGUCCGUGGCCUGGAGCCCCAGCAGUCAGUUCCUGGCGGUCGGGAGCUAUGACGGAAAGGUGGGCACAGAGCAGCACACGUGGGGACAAAGCAGCUGGCAGGCCAUGCGGCCUCACGCGCGCGGUCUUCCUCAGGUACGCGUUCUUAAUCACGUGACUUGGAAGGCGAUCACAGAGUUCGAGCACCCUACAAACAUCAAUAAUCCCAAAAUAGUGGUGUAUAAGGAAGCCGAGAAGAGUCCACAGCAGGCGCUGGACCACCUCGCCUUCCCUCCCUGCAGAGCUGCCGCCGGGCUCUCCAGCCCUGAGAGCAAAUACGAGAUCGCCUCGGUGCCCGUGUCCUUGCAGAUGUUGAAGCCUGCCGCUGACAGAGCGAACCCCAAAAUUGGCAUUGGGGCGCUGGCUUUUAGCCCUGACAGCUACUUCCUGGCGACGCGGAACGGUCAGCAGCCAUGGGCCCGUGCGACAAUGUCCCGAAUGCCGUGUGGAUCUGGGAUGUGCGGAAGCUGAGGCUCUUUGCGGUGCUGGAGCAGCUGCGCCCCGUGCGCUCCUUCCACUGGGACCCACAGCAGCCCAGGCUGGCCAUCUGCACUGGAGGCAGCAAGGUGUACCUGUGGUCGCCAGCAGGCUGUGUCUCAGUGCAGGUGCCUGGGGAAGGUGACUUCCACGUGCUUUCUCUGUGCUGGCAUCUGCACGGGGGCUCACUGGCUCUGCUCAGCAAGGACCACUUCUGCCUCUGCUUUCUGGACACCGUGGGUGUCGGCACGGCCGGGGGACAGCAGGGCAACCACACAUAGCGCCAUGCAGGCGGGGCCAUGUGAGGGCAGAGGAGAGCGCCAGGGCCCAGCUGUGGGAGGAUGAACUCUGGGGACGCUUUCUAGCCAUGGGUGCAGCUGGAGAGGCCUGCUUUUAUAUUCCUACAGCAAGGCCUUUUUGUAAAUAUGUACAGUAUAAAACAUUUUUGUUAUUUAAAAUAUUUGCUAAUUC